UAUGAACUUGCACGGGAAGAAGGUAGUGCACUGGGCGGUACUAAACCAGAUGAGAUUGAAGUUGAAUGCCCUAUUUGCUUGUCUGAGGUUGAGGAUGGCUACUCUCUCGAAGCAUGUUCACACCUCUUCUGCAAAGCUUGUUUGUUGGAACAGCUCGAGGCGUCGAUGAGAAACUUUGACGCAUUUCCCAUAAUCUGUUCUCACAUCGACUGUGGAGCUCCUAUAGUACUUGCUGAUAUGAGAGCCCUCUUAUCACAAGAGAAGCUCGACGAACUCUUCAGAGCAUCCCUCUCCUCUUUUGUAACAACCAGCGAUGGUGAGUUCCGGUUCUGCUCCACACCUGACUGCCCUUCCAUCUACCGCGUUGCCGGUCCUCUAGAUUCAGGGGAGCCAUUUUUCUGCGGAGCGUGUAACUCACAGACGUGCACGAGGUGCCACCUGGAGUAUCACCCGUACAUCACUUGCGAAAGGUACAAACUGUUCAAGGAGGAUCCUGACAUGUCGUUGAAGGACUGGGCGAAAGGGAAGAACGUGAAGGAGUGUCCGUGUUGCAAGUCGACGAUAGAGAAAUCUGAAGGGUGUAACCAUCUGCUGUGCCGGUGUGGGAAUCACAUUUGCUGGGUCUGCUUAAGGUGGUUCGCUCAACAAGAACCUUGUUAUGAACAUUUGAGAGGAGUCCAUGGUGGGAUAGGCCUCUUCGAUGAGCUAGGCAUGCCCAUGCUUUGAAGUACCUCUCCAAAAAAAUGUACAAAUUUGUUUUAAGUAGAGGUCCAUGUAUAUCUAUAUUGUGUAACAUUAUCUGGUUUGGUUCAUAUGUAAUUAUGUCGAGAGAUUGGUUCAGUAGUAUACCUUCUUUAACCAAUACAAACCGAAAACUCAUAAACUUGAUGCCAAGGUAUGAAGAGUUUUGGUAUCAACGACUUGAAGCUUGACUUGUUAACAUCACUGAAAACGCGUAAACGUCUACAGAGAGUUCACUAAUAAGUCUAGUUUUGGGUCAAGACAAAGUUGAAAGGAAACUACUUUCCAAAGACGUACAGAGACAUCCCUUUAAUGGCAUUUAUCACACACCUUCCACGAAAUUUCCACCCACUUCCAAACCCUAUCAAAGGACUGAUCCUCAAUUCUUAUUAGAGUCCGGUAGAUUGUGAUCUCUGUCCCCUUAUAAACUCAACACGUUCUUGGAAUUUUUGGGGUCAUGACUUGACUAUGUGUAGAUUCUAACGUCAAUAUGGGUUUUAAAUUUCAUCUAGUGCCCCUAUUUCUUCUCUCUUUCUUCAAGAGCAAAAACUUAGUUUUGUGUCCGAAACCCAUUUAUCUCUGUUCGUGCUCUGUUUUAACUACUAGUUGUCUCUUGAAAAAGUAAAGUCCCCUGUUUUUUCUCUGAAAAUGGCGUCCCAUAACAGGAAGAUGCUUUAUCCAUUUCAACCCGGACAAAAUUGCACCUUCGGGCUCUACUUCCCUUUUAUUCCGACAUACCCACCACCACCUCCGCCGCCGCAGAGAGAUCUCUCUGUUAUAGUCUCCACCUCAAUCUGCAUAAUAGGCUCACUCCUACUCUUCCUAUUCCUCAUCGUCUUCCUCUACCUCUACAUCACGAAGUCAUCAAGACGGAGGAGCUCACCUUCCGCAGUGGCUCCCGUCGUCAGCACCAGACGAAGAGAGGAAGAGAACGAAGAAGAAGAAGCCGGAGGAGGAGGAGAAAGAGAUCAUCAUCACUUCUGGAGCAUCGCAACGCUCGGUCUCCACCGCUCAGAUAUCGAUUCUAUAACAGUCGUCGUGUUCAAGAAGGGAGAAGGGAUCAUCGACGGCACGGACUGCUCCGUCUGCUUGAGCGAAUUCGAAGAGGGCGAAGGGGUUAGGCUGUUGCCGAAGUGUAGCCACGCCUUCCACGUCAGCUGCAUCGACACGUGGCUUCUCUCUCACAAGAACUGUCCUUUGUGCCGCGCCCCUGUUUUCUCCCCCGAGGUGCGUGAUAAAGAAACAGAGACGAGUCAUCAGACAGAGUCUGGAACAAGAGAUGAAGAGAGUUCGGGAUCGAGAAACGGUAAUGUUGUUCUUCCGAGGUCACAAAGCGAUUUGGCUAGCCGUUGCGGCGAAGGAAGGUUGGAGACUGUGAGAAGAUCGUUUUCGAUUGGAGGAAGCUCGUUAGUUAAAGCUGAAGGUGGAAGUAGAAGACACUUCUACAGCAGCUUCAGUGCUAAUUUCUUCUCUUCAUCAAGAAGAACAACGAACCAAGACUCGGUUCUCCCGAGCUGAAUGCCUUCUAGACCGUUUAAAUAUCUAGUGUUGUCGUAUUUGAAAUAAACGGAUUGUUUCAAUGGUUUGUUAAGAUUAUAUAAUGAUUUUAAAUAAAGAGAUAUGGGCAAUUAAGGUUAAAUUAAACAAGAACAAUUCUCACUGAGACAUUUCGUCGAACACGUUCAGGACUACAACAUCGAACUAAAGACUAAUUAAAAUCCAAGAAACAGAUUGAUAGAUAGCAUAAGAGUCUCUCAAGCUCUUUCGCCUCUGAUUCUUCUUGCCAGCUGGAUGUCCUUUGGCAUGAUUGUUACUCUCUUCGCGUGAAUCGCGCAGAGAUUCGUGUCUUCGAACAAACCAACAAGGUAAGCUUCGGCUGCUUCUUGAAGAGCUGCGACGGCGCUGCUCUGGAACCUCAGAUCGGUUUUGAAAUCCUGAGCGAUCUCACGGACAAGACGCUGGAAGGGGAGCUUGCGGAUCAGAAGCUCCGUGCUCUUCUGGUACUUCCUGAUCUCCCUCAACGCCACCGUUCCGGGACGGAAUCUGUGCGGCUUCUUCACCCCGCCGGUGGCCGGAGCGGAUUUUCUUGCGGCUUUCGUCGCGAGCUGCUUCCUUGGUGCUUUGCCUCCGGUGGAUUUCCUAGCGGUUUGCUUGGUACGAGCCAUAUCGAUAUCAAAAAAAUCACUACGAACAGUCUAGAGAAUGAGAAUGCAAAUGCGAAAGAAAGUUAAGUAGUGAAGAACAAAGGUUGAAGAUGUGUUGAUUUUAUAAGAAAGAGAAAUUGGCGGUGAGUUGGAAAAAGGGCUUGGUAAGUUGAUUUUGGGAUGCUUCAGACACAGAAUGGGCAAAGAGGGGAUUGUUCUUGCUGCUGUCAUGGCCAAUGCUAGUAGUAUAUUUUGCAGAGUUGGUAACCUUGAUGAUAAGAUGAAAGCUGAUUGCCUAAAGGUAAGAUAUUCUCUACUUUUGUAAAUAGUUUAGAUCCUCUUAGAAGAUGUUGUUCUGAAAUUUUUUUUUCUUUGUCAUCUUCAAGGUGAAGUUCUGCAACAAUAAUGGAGACCUCUUCACUCUUCUUUCGGUGUACAAAGAAUGGGCAUCUCUGCCGCGAGAGAGAAGAAACAAAUGGUGCUGGGAAAAUAGCCUGAACGCCAAAUCAAUGAGGAGAUGCGAAGACACAGUCAAGGAGCUGGAGAUAUGCAUUGAGAGAGAACUUUCUCUCGUCAGUCCAACCUACUGGGUUUGGAACUCAACCGAGGGUAAUGAUAAACACGAGAAGCAUCUGAAAAUGGUUAUACUUGCGUCUCUUGCCGAGAACGUGGCGAUGUACACUGGCUAUGAUCAGCUCGGGUACGAGGUAGCGUUGACUGGGCAACAAGUCCAGUUGCAUCCGUCGUGUUCGUUGCUAGCGUUUGGCCAGAAGCCAAACUGGGUUGUUUUCGGUGAGCUUCUGUCAGCUGUCGACCAGUACUUGGUAUGUGUAACCGCGUUUGAUUUCGAGGCUUUGUCUAUGCUUGAUCCACCUCCACCUUUUGAUGCAUCUCAUAUGGAUGAGUGGAGGCUCAGAGUGAAAAAGGUGGCUGGUUGUAGCAGCACUCUGCUGAAACGAUUCUGUGGGAAAUCUAACCGUAGUCUGCUUUCCAUCGUCUCUCGUGCUAGGUCUCUUUGUGAGGAUGAGAGGAUUAAUAUUCAAGUUGAUGUAGAUCAGAACGAGAUUCUACUAUAUGCGCCUCCCCACGACAUGGACAAAGUGUUGUCCCUAGUGAACGAUGCAUUGGAAUGCGAAAAGAAGUUGAUGCGUAACGAAUGUUUUGAGAAGUAUAUAUAUCAUGGUCGAGGAGAAGUACCCCUUGCACUGUUCGGAUCCGGCGCUCAGAUAAAGCAUCUUGAAGUUGAUCAGAGAUUCUUGACAGUCGAUGUACUCUAUUACGGCGACAACUCUCUUGAUGACAGAGAGAUUCUGACGUUCCUGGAGAAGGAGAUCGAUGGAUGUAUCUGCUCCAUUCAUAAGUUUGCUGGUAACAAGCAAGACUGUGAUGAGAAGGAGAAGUGGGGUAGGGUUACCUUUCGGACUCCGGAGUCUGCUAUGAAGGCAACAGAGAUUCAAAAGUUUGAUCUCAACGGAUCAGUGAUUAAACUAUUUCCAUCGCUGUCAGCUGGUGGUGAAGGAGUUUUCAAGAUGCCUUCUGUUACAGCUAUGAUUCGUUGGCCGCAAAGGGAAAGUUGUGGUAAAGGUGUUCUUAAGUGUGCUUCUGGUGAUAUUCACAGUAUCUUUGCUGGGUCAUCCGGCAUCAUGAUAGGAACAAAAUAUUGCCCCUUUGAGACGGAUCAAAGACACACUGAUUCUAUUUUGAUUACUGGUAUUGACACAAAUCUUUCGGAUGCUGAAGUUUUAGAUGUUUUGGAGUUCGCUACGCAGAGAACAGAUUUGGAAUUUUUCUUAUUCAGAAGAGGAAAUAUUGUGCAUUGUCAAGAUCUUACUGUUUGUAAAGAUAUGCUGCAUAAGAGAAUAUUUGCGCGCUUGUCAUCGAGGAAUCCAGACCCAAAGUGUGUUGAAGUCAAAGUCUUUGAACCAAAAGAAGCUAAUUUUGUGCGAGCGUUGAUUACUUUUGAUGGGAGAUUACAUCUGGAAGCUGCAAAAGCUUUGCAGGAGUUAGAUGGAACUAUUCUAGAUGGAUGCUAUCCAUGGCAGAAGAUAAAAUGCGAGCAAAAGUUUCAGAGCUCCAUAAUCUGUCCUGCUUUUAUCUACAACAUAGUCAGAAGACAAUUAUAUGCUAAGCUAGCAAGCUUCAAGAGACAAAGAAGUGAUUCCAUUGCCACAUUUGAGAUGUUUGCUCUCUAUCACCUAUUAUUCAUUAACAUUCUCUUUUAUGUAUUUUGCAGAAUGUGAAUGGCAUCUGGAGGCAAUUCAUAGUGGUGCUUAUCGUGUUAAAAUCUCCGCAAAUGCAACAAGACGCAUCUCGGAGAUGCGGAGAUCUCUCGAAGAACUCAUAAGAGGAAGACCCAUAAUAAACCAUCCAGGCUUAACCCCAAGGGUCUUGCAGCAUCUUUUGUCCAGAGAAGGUGUUAUCCUGAUGCGGAAGAUCCAACAGGAGACUGAAACUUGCAUUGUGGUAGACAGGCAGAGUCUCGCAGUACGCAUUUGUGGAUCAGAAGAGAGAACCGCUGCGGCUGAACAAGAGCUGGUUCGGUCGCUUCUGGCUUAUCACGAGAGCAAGCAGCUUGAAAUCCGCCUCCGAGGUCCGAAUCUCCGUCCUGAUCUCAUGAAGGAAGUUGUGAAUCGGUUUGGUCCAGAGCUCCAAGGUAUUAAAGAGAAGGUGAAUGGUGUGGAUCUCAAGCUCAACACUCGGAACCAUGUUAUUCAUGUUCAUGGGAGCGUGGAGAUGAGGCAGGAAGUAGAGAAGAUGGUCUAUGAACUUGCACGGGAAGAAGGUAGUGCACUGGGCGGUACUAAACCAGAUGAGAUUGAAGUUGAAUGCCCUAUUUGCUUGUCUGAGGUUGAGGAUGGCUACUCUCUCGAAGCAUGUUCACACCUCUUCUGCAAAGCUUGUUUGUUGGAACAGCUCGAGGCGUCGAUGAGAAACUUUGACGCAUUUCCCAUAAUCUGUUCUCACAUCGACUGUGGAGCUCCUAUAGUACUUGCUGAUAUGAGAGCCCUCUUAUCACAAGAGAAGC
rnacentral:lncRNA from 1 species